rnacentral:tRNA from 1 species
GCUACCGUGGUGAAAUGGAAGACACACUAGACUUAAAAUCUGGAGGCAUUAUGUCCGUAUGAGUUCAAGUCUCAUCGGUGGUA